GGCAAUGGCCAUACUACCCUGAACACACCCAAUCUCAUCUCAUCUUGGAAGCUAAGCAGGGUCGGGCUGGGUAAGUACUUGGUUGGGAGGCAAUAUUUAUUUUUC
rnacentral:rRNA from 1 species